rnacentral:rRNA from 1 species
AGUGAACGCUGGCGGUAGGCCUAACACAUGCAAGUCGAACGGCAGCACAGUAAGAGCUUGCUCUUACGGGUGGCGAGUGGCGGACGGGUGAGGAAUACAUCGGAAUCUACUUUUUCGUGGGGGAUAACGUAGGGAAACUUACGCUAAUACCGCAUACGACCUACGGGUGAAAGCAGGGGAUCUUCGGACCUUGCGCGAUUGAAUGAGCCGAUGUCGGAUUAGCUAGUUGGCGGGGUAAAGGCCCACCAAGGUGACGAUCCGUAGCUGGUCUGAGAGGAUGAUCAGCCACACUGGAACUGAGACACGGUCCAGACGCCUACGGGAGGCAGCAGUGGGGAAUAUUGGACAAUGGGCGCAAGCCUGAUCCAGCCAUACCGCGUGGGUGAAGAAGGCCUUCGGGUUGUAAAGCCCUUUUGUUGGGAAAGAAAAGCAGCAGGUUAAUACCCCGCUGUUCUGACGGUACCCAAAGAAUAAGCACCGGCUAACUUCGU